UGGGGGAUCUUGCGCUAAUGCGCGAAAGCGUGACGCAGCGACGCCGCGUGGGGGAUGAAGGCCCUCGGGUUGUAAACCCCUUUCGGCAGGGACGAAGCGAAAGUGACGGUACCUGCAGAAGAAGUCCCGGCUAACUACGUGCCAGCAGCCGCGGUAACACGUAGGGGACGAGCGUUGUCCGGAUUUAUUGGGCGUAAAGCGCGCGUAGGCGGCUCGGAAAGUCGGUCGUGAAAUGCCGGGGCUCAACCCCGGGACUGCGUCCGAUACUUCCGAGCUGGAGGCAGGUAGGGGAGAUCGGAAUUCCUGGUGUAGCGGUGAAAUGCGCAGAUAUCAGGAGGAACACCGGUGGCGAAGGCGGAUCUCUGGGCCUUGCCUGACGCUGAGGCGCGAAAGCUAGGGGAGCGAACAGG
rnacentral:rRNA from 1 species